rnacentral:rRNA from 1 species
GAUGAACGCUAGCGGGAGGCCUAACACAUGCAAGCCGAGCGGUAUUAUUUCUUCGGAAAUGAGAGAGCGGCGUACGGGUGCGGAACACGUGUGCAACCUGCCUUUAUCUGGGGGAUAGCCUUUCGAAAGGAAGAUUAAUACUCCAUAACAUAUUGAACGGCAUCGUUUGAUAUUGAAAGCUCCGGCGGAUAGAGAUGGGCACGCGCAAGAUUAGCUAGUUGGUGAGGUAACGGCUCACCAAGGCGAUGAUCUUUAGGGGGCCUGAGAGGGUGAUCCCCCACACUGGUACUGAGACACGGACCAGACUCCUACGGGAGGCAGCAGUGAGGAAUAUUGGUCAAUGGGUGCAAGCCUGAACCAGCCAUCCCGCGUGAAGGACGACUGCCCUAUGGGUUGUAAACUUCUUUUGUAUAGGGAUAAACCUACCCUCGUGAGGGUAGCUGAAGGUACUAUACGAAUAAGCACCGGCUAACUCCGUGCCAGCAGCCGCAGUAAAAC